GAUGAACGCUGGCGGCGUGCCUAAUACAUGCAAGUCGAGCGAACAGACGAGGAGCUUUCUCCUCUGACGUUAGCGGCGGACGGGUGAGUAACACGUGGAUAACCUACUUAUAAGACUGGGAUAACUUCGGGAAACCGGAGCUACUACUGGCUAAUAUAUUGAACCGCAUGGUUCACUAGUGAAAGACGGUUUUGCUGUCACUUAUAGAUGGGUCCGCGCCCCAUUAGUUAGUUGGUAGGGUAACGGCUUACCAAGGCGUGGAUGCGUAGCCGACCUGAGAGGGUGGAAGGCAACCUUGGGACUGAGAUACGGCCCGGACUACGACGGGAGGCAGCAGUGGGGAAGAGUGUACAAUGGGAGGAAGCCUGAUGAAGCGACGACGGGUGGGGGAUGAAGGCCUUCGGGUUGUAAACUCCUUUCGUUAGGGACGAAGCCGAACCUUUUUUGGGUGUGGUGACGGUACCUUUGUGAAGAAGCACCGGCUAACUACGUG
rnacentral:rRNA from 1 species